CCUACGGGGGGCUGCAGUGGGGAAUAUUGGACAAUGGGGGCAACCCUGAUCCAGCCAUGCCGCGUGUGUGAAGAAGGCCCUCGGGUUGUAAAGCACUUUCAGUGAGGAAGAACGCCUGGUGGUUAAUACCCAUCAGGAAAGACAUCACUCACAGAAGAAGCACCGGCUAACUCCGUGCCAGCAGCCGCGGUAAUACGGAGGGUGCGAGCGUUAAUCGGAAUUACUGGGCGUAAAGCGCGCGUAGGUGGCUUGAUAAGCCGGUUGUGAAAGCCCCGGGCUCAACCUGGGAACGGCAUCCGGAACUGUCAAGCUAGAGUGCAGGAGAGGAAGGUAGAAUUCCCGGUGUAGCGGUGAAAUGCGUAGAGAUCGGGAGGAAUACCAGUGGCGAAGGCGGCCUUCUGGACUGACACUGACACUGAGGUGCGAAAGCGUGGGUAGCAAACAGGAUUAGAUACCCGAGUGGUC
rnacentral:rRNA from 1 species